GAAAUAUCACCAGCAAAACACUGCAUACGAGCUGAAUUCUUUGUCCACACAAUGGAGUGAGCUCUGUUUGUAAAAUACAGAAAUCCAAGCUGCAUGUUAUCAGAUUCAAAAUCAUAUUGAAAGGCUGAAGGAGGAAGCUAAAGAGAGAGGCUGGGAUCUGGAAAGUAAAAUGGAGAAUGGUUCAUUGUUCUCUGCAGAAAAGUGAGUUGUGGCAUACAGCUCUCCCAAAGAAGAUCCCGGGCUUAGUAUGUCUGAGAAGAAGCUUAUCAUCGGUGGAGGCAUAUCAAAAGAAUCUGUGACCAACAUUACAUGGAGGCUUAGUAUGUCUGGGCUUUCACUGUCUGCAAGGCAAGGACACCAUGUCAUUCUCACUUUGAUCUUGUAAUGCAGUUUUUUAUUUGUGCUUUUCUUUCACAUCCUUUUAGUCCUGUAUGUUUCAUGUGGUACACAAAGUGUAGAUUCCUAGCU